GAGUGAACCUAGUACCACCUCCUUGAAAGGGGCUGAGUCCUUCUUCACCUUUGCCUUGGAAAAACCAGUUUCUCUCUCCUCUAUUGUCUGUUACCUACUUCUAAAAGUUCAACUGAAUCCCACCGUAGUCCCAGCCCUGUCUUCCAGCUAUCUCGACUCCCUCUGCUCCAGCUCCACUUUUCUCUGCUUCCUUAUGUUCUUUUUUCUUAAAGGGAGAAGGACUCUUCGGGACUGGCCCCUGCCUUCCCUCAGGAACGGGCCUGCGGGACUGGACGCUACACAGUCUGUAGAGCAAGGGUGGAUGAUAAGAAAAGGGCCUACCUUUUCUGGACUCACUAAUGUCAACGCUACCUCCCGUUUGCAUGGCCUUUCAUGGUUAAAGUGCUUUUGCAGACACUGUCACCUCUGGAGUAUGCACCCUGGAGGCUCAGAACCACACACGAGGGUGAGACUCUGCGCAUUCCGACCGAGGACUUGAGGAAUCCGGUGGACCGCACAUGUUGGGAGGAUUUCAGUGGAGUGAAGUUCAGGAGGCAUGGAGCGGACACCGCAGCAGCAGCAGCAGCAGCAGCAGCAGCAGCGAAGAGUAGUCUGACUUAGAAAACAAAAGGCCCAGGGAGGGCUGUGAGCACUGGAGGAAGACAUCUGGAGCGCAUCUCCUCCUGCAGAGGGGGUGGGUGAGGGACGAUGGGCAGAUUGCAAAAAAACACACCACAGAUGGGAGCCGCUCAUUCCUUCUCGUCUCAAAUGGAUGCUCUGGAAAUGUGUGUCUUCUGUACCUUAUAAAAAUUAAAAGUUGUCUGUCUGCUGGAAA